AUCCCGUGCAUGUCCGGGUAAUGAUAUGCACCUCCCUGUUGGACUAGGCCCGGACUUGAUCCGGGCCUCUUUU
rnacentral:ncRNA from 1 species